UGGGACGUCGACAAGCGGUAAGUCAGCGGGUUUUGAUCCCGCCAUUCGCAGGUUCGAUCCCUGCCGUCCCAG
rfam:Spirochaetes bacterium RIFOXYC1_FTLL_54_7 rifoxyc1_full_scaffold_11591, whole genome shotgun sequence.